rfam:Triticum aestivum genome assembly, contig: Triticum_aestivum_CS42_TGACv1_scaffold_640760_T_4BL-0.117195_6BL-0.102303
CUAAUACUCCCUCCGUCCCAAAAUUUUUGUCUUAAAUUUGUCUAAAUACGGAUGUAUCAAAUCAUGUUUUAGUAUUAGAUUCAUCCGUAUAUAGACAAAUCUAAGACAAUAAUUUUAGGACGUAGGGAUCAUGAU